rnacentral:rRNA from 1 species
UGCGCAGGUGGGCUUGUAAGUCAGUGGUGAAAUACUGCCGCUUAACGGUAGAACUGCCAUUGAUACUGCAAGUCUUGAGUAUGGUUGAGGUAGGCGGAAUGUGUUGUGUAGCGGUGAAAUGCAUAGAUAUGACACAGAACUCCAAUUGCGAAGGCAGCUUACUAAGCCAUUAUUGACGCUGAGGCACGAAAGCGUGGGGAGCGAACAGGAUUAGAUACCCUGGUAGUCC